GUGUGAUGAUGAUUGAUGAUGAUGAUGAUGAUGAUGAUAUGACACACCAUUGUGGUAUCCUCAACAACCCAUCAUCAUCAUCAUCUUUA
rnacentral:miRNA from 1 species